rnacentral:rRNA from 1 species
UACGAAGGGGGCUAGCGUUGUUCGGAAUUACUGGGCGUAAAGCGCACGUAGGCGGACUAUUAAGUCAGGGGUGAAAUCCCGGGGCUCAACCCCGGAACUGCCUUUGAUACUGGUAGUCUCGAGUCGGAAGAGGUGAGUGGGAAUUCCGAGUGUAGAGGUGAAAUUCGUAGAUAUUCGGAAGAACACCAGUGGCGAAGGCGACACACUGGCCCGUUACUGACGCUGAGGCGCGAAAGCGUGGGGAGCGAACAGG